AAGCAUCUGGAGAGCGAAAAUGGUGCAGCAGGAGACAGAAGAGUUCUGGAAGGACGAAGCUCUGAGUGCAUUGGCAGCUGAAAUCCUAUACGACUGGUGGACAAUCAAGUGGCUACUAUUGGCAUCACUCAUCAUGCUCAGGUGGAAGGACGAAGCUCUGAGUGCAUUGGCAGCUGAAAUCCUAUACGACUGGUGGACAAUCAAGUGGCUACUAUUGGCAUCACUCAUCAUGCUCAGGUUCCUUUCUCAUCUUUUAUCUGCUACCUAUAUAUAUAAAUACACUUCCGCUAAAUUACUAGCUGACAGAUAAUUUGAACCGUUUAUAUUUCUAAUGGAAAGUUAAAUGUUAUAUUUCUAAUGGAAGGUUAAGAUGUUAUAUGGGCAACGCCAGCUAGAAGAAUUAGCGGACUGGAUCAAAAAUAUUUUGUAAACCAAAACAUCGGUAAAAAAAAAUCGAGAUAACUGCUGCGAUGUGACGAUUUGGAAUUGGAACCCAACUGCGAUUUGUAUGAAAGUGAAAAGGAUUUGGGGCUGUUGCUGCGAUUUCUCCCUCCUACUGUGAUUUUAAUUGGCAAUUUCUCCAUCGACAAAGUUGAAUUGGGACAAAUACCUUGUUAAAAGAACUCUCAAAGCCAAAGCUGCUGCGAUUUCUUUCAUUUAGGCCAAUAUUUUAUAAAUGUUCAAAUAUGUGGGUUAUUACUUGUUUACUAUAUUCCGAGGAUCAGUCUAUUUUGAUUUCUGGGGCAGAGGAUGGUAUGUUCGAGUCUGGUCGCUUAUCA
rnacentral:lncRNA from 1 species